AUACGGAGGGUGCGAGCGUUAAUCGGAAUUACUGGGCGUAAAGCGUACGUAGGCGGUUGGUUACGUUAGAUGUGAAAGCCCCGGGCUUAACCUGGGAACUGCAUUUAAAACUGGCGAACUAGAGUUGAGUAGAGGGGAGUGGAAUUUCAGGUGUAGCGGUGAAAUGCGUAGAGAUCUGAAGGAACACCAGUGGCGAAGGCGACUCCCUGGACUCGAACUGACGCUGAGGUACGAAAGCGUGGGUAGCAAACGGGAUUAGAAACCCCAGUAGUCC
rnacentral:rRNA from 1 species